AUUGAACGCUGGCGGCAUGCUUUACACAUGCAAGUCGAACGGCAGCGCGGGCUUCGGCCUGGCGGCGAGUGGCGAACGGGUGAGUAAUGCAUCGGAACGUGCCCAGUAGUGGGGGAUAGCCCGGCGAAAGCCGGAUUAAUACCGCAUACGACCUGAUGGUGAAAGCGGGGGACCGAAAGGCCUCGCGCUAUUGGAGCGGCCGAUGUCGGAUUAGCUAGUUGGUGGGGUAAAGGCUUACCAAGGCGACGAUCCGUAGCUGGUCUGAGAGGACGACCAGCCACACUGGGACUGAGACACGGCCCAGACUCCUACGGGAGGCAGCAGUGGGGAAUUUUGGACAAUGGGGGCAACCCUGAUCCAGCCAUGCCGCGUGCGGGAAGAAGGCCUUCGGGUUGUAAACCGCUUUUGUUCGGGAAGAAAUCCUCUGGGCUAAUACCCCGGGGGGAUGACGGUACCGGAAGAAUAAGCACCGGCUAACUACGUG
rnacentral:rRNA from 1 species